ensembl:snRNA U6 U6 spliceosomal RNA
AAAAAAUUUUUUUUAAUAAAAGUGGAAUGAUACAGGGAAGAUUAGCAUAGUCACUGCACAAGGAUGAUAUGCAAAUUCUUAAAAUUUUCCAUAUUAUU